rnacentral:lncRNA from 1 species
AUGGACACUAUUCUGAGAAAAUUCCGAAGAGCUAACAGAAACAAAAAAAAUAAUAUAUCAGAAAUAGAUACAAUUGAUGAACGUGUUUGGGCUCAAGCGAAAACGAUAGAUUUAGAAGAAGAAGAAUUAAGAUAUUCGUCAAAUAAUAAAACACCUAAAAAUUAUACGGAAAAUGAAAAACGAUCAAGCAGCAUAGAAGAUACAUAUGUAAUAGAUGACAUAUUAGGAAAUUUGAAUAAUACAAAAAACGAUAAAUAUUAUUUAAACUCUUUUUUACGAAUGAAUAAUGACAUAACUAAUAACAACACAGAUUUUAACAAUUAUUAUUUUGGUAAAAAUAAAAAAAAUGGACCUAAUUAUAGUAAUUAUAAAACAGAACAUAAUGAAGAACAUGUAGAAAAAGUUUUUGAUAAAUAUGCAUGUGAAACAAAAGAUUAUUAUGAAAAUGAUGAAGAGACAAAUUCCUAUGAUGAUUCAAUUGUGAACGGAGAUAAAAUGGAUGUAUUACAUGACGAUAUAUAUAACAAACAUAAUAAUGAACAAGAAGAAUAUAAAUAUUUUGAAAAUAAACCAGAAGCUUUUGAUGUAGGAGAAAACACAGAAUUGGAAUCUGACUUAGAGACAGGAAUAGAUAUAGUAAUAAAUCAAGAAGUAGACACUGAUUUGGAUAUAGAAAUAGAAACACAAGAUGAAGAUGUAAUAGAUGAAGAGGAAGGAGAUGAAGAUGUAGUAGAUGAAGAGGAAGAAGAUGAUGAAGCAGUAACGGAAGAAGAGAUAGAAAGUGACGAAGAUGUAGAAUCUGAAGAAGAAUCUGAAGGGGUAGAGAUAGAAAAUGAAGAAGAAAUAGAAAAUGAAGAAGAGGUAGAAAAUGAAGAAGAGGUAGAAAAUGAAGAAGCAAAAACUAAUGAACAAGAAGAGGUACAAUACGAAAUGAAAAAUUCAAAUACUGAGGAUGUAUUAUAUACCGAAAUUAAGAAUGAAAAUUCAAAUGAUAAUAAAAUGCAAAAUAUAGAAGAUGCAACAGAAGAAAAUGUAGAAUAUUUAGAAGAAAAACUUGAAAUUUAUAAUACAGAGCAAAUAGAUGAAGAAGUAGAAAUUGCACAAGUAAAAGGAAAAGGUAGAUGUAUGUUUACAAAAAAAAAAUUAGAUCCCGGUUCUGUUAUUUUUAUUGAAAAACCUUUAUUAAUUAUAACUCCAAAAUUAAAUGAAAAAUUAUGGGAAUUUUUAAAUAAGUUGAAUGAUGAAGAAAAUUUUGAAUUACCUCUUAAAUGGCAUUACGCUGCACUAUGUACUUUUGACACACUUAAUGAUGAAGAUUUUAAAGCUUGUAUUGAUAAAUGGACACCUGAACCUGACAAAGAAGCAGAAAAUGAUGUUUUUAAUGUUUUAGAUAAAGUGUGUAAAAAAAAAGUAACAAAAAACCAUACAACAUAUUACUAUUACAAAAAAAAACUGAUAGAUCCUAAAAUAUAUAAUCGAGUUAUACAGAUAUGGCAUUACAAUGCUUUUGGUCAUCACACAGACGCUGAAGGAUUAGUUCUAUAUAAUCGUAAACAUAAAAAAAAAAAAAAAAAAAAAAGAAUGCAUAAACAUACACGUGUAAAAGAUAUAUGAUUUAUUAUUUUAUCUUUCAUUUAUUUUAUUCAUUUAUUUUAUUUAAUUAUUUAUUUAUUUAUUUAUUCAUUUAUUUUAUU